AAAUUGAAGAGUUUGAUCAUGGCUCAGAUUGAACGCUGGCGGCAGGCCUAACACAUGCAAGUCGAACGGUAACAGGAAGAAGCUUGCUUCUUUGCUGACGAGUGGCGGACGGGUGAGUAAUGUCUGGGAAACUGCCUGAUGGAGGGGGGUAACUACUGGAAACGGUAGCUAAUACCGCAUAACGUCG
rnacentral:rRNA from 1 species